rnacentral:rRNA from 1 species
UUAUCACGGGAGACACACGGCGGGUGCUAACGUCCGUCGUGAAGAGGGAAACAACCCAGACCGCCAGCUAAGGUCCCAAAGUCAUGGUUAAGUGGGAAACGAUGUGGGAAGGCCCAGACAGCCAGGAUGUUGGCUUAGAAGCAGCCAUCAUUUAAAGAAAGCGUAAUAGCUCACUGGUCGAGUCGGCCUGCGCGGAAGAUGUAACGGGGCUAAACCAUGCACCGAAGCUGCGGCAGCGAACGUAUCACUUAAAGCGAUUCAGCGGGUUACGAUUGACGGAGCGAAGCGACGUCAAAGCGUAUACAAAGUCGAGUCGGUUUAAGGAUACGUUCGUUGGGUAGGGGAGCGUUCUGUAAGCCCGUGAAGGUGGCCUGUGAGGGUUGCUGGAGGUAUCAGAAGUGCGAAUGCUGACAUAAGUAACGAUAAAGCGGGUGAAAAGCCCGCUCGCCGGAAGACCAAGGGUUCCUGUCCAACGUUAAUCGGGGCAGGGUGAGUCGACCCCUAAGGCGAGGCCGAAAGGCGUAGUCGAUGGGAAACGGGUUAAUAUUCCCGUACUUGGUGUUACUGCGAAGGGGGGACGGAGAAGGCUAUGUUGGCCGGGCGACGGUUGUCCCGGUUUAAGCGUGUAGGUGUGUGUUCCAGGUAAAUCCGGUUCACUUUAACACUGAGGCGUGACGACGAGGCACUACGGUGCUGAAGCAACAAAUGCCCUGCUUCCAGGAAAAGCCUCUAAGCAUCAGGUAACAUCAAAUCGUACCCCAAACCGACACAGGUGGUCAGGUAGAGAAUACCAAGGCGCUUGAGAGAACUCGGGUGAAGGAACUAGGCAAAAUGGUGCCGUAACUUCGGGAGAAGGCACGCUGACACGUAGGUGAAGUGAUUUACUCAUGGAGCUGAAGUCAGUCGAAGAUACCAGCUGGCUGCAACUGUUUAUUAAAAACACAGCACUGUGCAAACACGAAAGUGGACGUAUACGGUGUGACGCCUGCCCGGUGCCGGAAGGUUAAUUGAUGGGGUCAGCGUAAGCGAAGCUCCUGAUCGAAGCCCCGGUAAACGGCGGCCGUAACUAUAACGGUCCUAAGGUAGCGAAAUUCCUUGUCGGGUAAGUUCCGACCUGCACGAAUGGCGUAAUGAUGGCCAGGCUGUCUCCACCCGAGACUCAGUGAAAUUGAACUCGCUGUGAAGAUGCAGUGUACCCGCGGCAAGACGGAAAGACCCCGUGAACCUUUACUAUAGCUUGACACUGAACAUUGAGCCUUGAUGUGUAGGAUAGGUGGGAGGCUUUGAAGUGUGGACGCCAGUCUGCAUGGAGCCGACCUUGAAAUACCACCCUUUAAUGUUUGAUGUUCUAACGUGGACCCGUAAUCCGGGUUGCGGACAGUGUCUGGUGGGUAGUUUGACUGGGGCGGUCUCCUCCUAAAGAGUAACGGAGGAGCACGAAGGUUGGCUAAUCCUGGUCGGACAUCAGGAGGUUAGUGCAAUGGCAUAAGCCAGCUUGACUGCGAGCGUGACGGCGCGAGCAGGUGCGAAAGCAGGUCAUAGUGAUCCGGUGGUUCUGAAUGGAAGGGCCAUCGCUCAACGGAUAAAAGGUACUCCGGGGAUAACAGGCUGAUACCGCCCAAGAGUUCAUAUCGACGGCGGUGUUUGGCACCUCGAUGUCGGCUCAUCACAUCCUGGGGCUGAAGUAGGUCCCAAGGGUAUGGCUGUUCGCCAUUUAAAGUGGUACGCGAGCUGGGUUUAGAACGUCGUGAGACAGUUCGGUCCCUAUCUGCCGUGGGCGCUGGAGAACUGAGGGGGGCUGCUCCUAGUACGAGAGGACCGGAGUGGACGCAUCACUGGUGUUCGGGUUGUCAUGCCAAUGGCACUGCCCGGUAGCUAAAUGCGGAAGAGAUAAGUGCUGAAAGCAUCUAAGCACGAAACUUGCCCCGAGAUGAGUUCUCCCUGAGACUUAGAGUCUCCUGAAGGAACGUUGAAGACGACGACGUUGAUAGGCCGGGUGUGUAAGCGCAGCGAUGCGUUGAGCUAACCGGUACUAAUGAACCGUGAGGCUUAACCUU